CCUACGGGCGGCAGCAGUGAGGAAUAUUGGUCAAUGGGCGAGAGCCUGAACCAGCCAAGUCGCGUGAAGGAAGACAGUCCUAAGGAUUGUAAACUUCUUUUAUACGGGAAUAACGGGCGAUACGAGUAUUGCAUUGAAUGUACCGUAAGAAUAAGCAUCGGCUAACUCCGUGCCAGCAGCCGCGGUAAUACGGAGGAUGCGAGCGUUAUCCGGAUUUAUUGGGUUUAAAGGGUGCGUAGGUUGUUCGGUAAGUCAGCGGUGAAACCUGAGCGCUCAACGUUCAGCCUGCCGUUGAAACUGCCGGGCUUGAGUUCAGUGGCGGCAGGCGGAAUUCGUGGUGUAGCGGUGAAAUGCAUAGAUAUCACGAGGAACUCCGAUUGCGAAGGCAGCUUGCCAGACUGCGACUGACACUGAAGCACGAAGGCGUGGGUAUCAAACAGGAUUAGAUACCCGGGUAGUC
rnacentral:rRNA from 1 species